AUGGCUCGGCCAGCCGCAGCAGUAGCGACAGUGGUUGCUCUGCUCCUCCUGCAGGUGCCUGCCUCGCCGUCAGUGGCCGAGGCGGCAAUCGGUGGCCGGUCGCCGGCAGCCAUUCCACAGCUUGGGUACGAGCUGUGGAGAAAGGCAGCCUGGUCCGGUCCGAAGGCCAUGAUCAAGCAGCCGUUCGGUGCACCCGACAAAGACCGGCUGGGCAGCGCGGCGGCCGACAACGCCGGCCUCGUCGUCUACAACCUCUCCGUCGGCUACACGAGGGAGGUCUCCUCCGGCAUCGUCGACAUUGUCACCGACUUCAUCUGGGUGCCAUGCCCGCUAUCCGGAUUCACCGAAGUUUACUGCGCCACCCAGACGUGCCGGAUGGCACUCGACAAGGAGGACGCCUGCGGCAACAGCAACGGCUACACCUGCCGGUACGCGUACCAGUACGGACCAGUGAUCGGCACCACCGGCUACAUCUCCGCCGAGGAGGUCACUGCCGUCGGGACGCCCAUCACCGGCCGGGUGUUGUUCGGCUGCAGCAUCACCAGCAUGGUGCCAUUCGACGGCGAGUUUGGCGUGCUUGGGUUCAGCAGGGGGCCCUACUCCCUCCUGUCGCAGCUCAAGAUCUCCAGGUUCUCCUACUUCAUGCUGCCCGACGACGUCGACAGGCCCGGCUCCCAGAGCGUCGUCCUCCUCGGCGACGACGCGGUGCCCCAGACCAACAGCAGCCUCUCCACGCCGCUGCUCCGGAGCAAAGCGUACCCCGACCUGUACUACGUCAAACUCACCGGCAUCAUGGUCGACGACAAGACCCUGAGCGGCAUCCCGGCGGGGACGUUCGACCUCGCCGCCAACGGCUGCUCCGGUGGGGUGGCCAUGAGCACGCUCUCCCCCAUCACCUACUUCCACCCGGCCGCCUACAACGCCUUGACGCGGGCGCUGGCGAGCAAGAUCAAGUCACAGCCAGUCCGUGCGAAAGCCCGCGACGUGGCCGAGCUGUGGCUGUGCUACAACAUCCAGUCCGUCGCCAACCUGACGUUCCCCAAGAUCACGCUGGUGUUCGACGGCGUUGACGGCAGGCCGGCGCCCAUGGAGCUCACUACGGCGCACUACUUCUUCAGGGAAAACUCCAGCGGGUUGCAGUGCCUCACCAUGCUGCCCACGCCGGCGGGCUCGCCGGUCGGCUCCGUCCUGGGAAGCCUGCUGCAGACGGGCACCCACAUGAUCUACGACCUCCGCGGCGGCUCGCUGACUUUCGAGAAGGGCGGGUCGCCGGCGGCUUCCCAGAAGGGCGGCGCGGCGGCUCCGCCGACGAACCCGCAGGUAUCGCUCAUGGUGAUCCUUGCUUUGGCGCUGCUCCUCGUCUAG
rnacentral:rRNA from 1 species